rnacentral:rRNA from 1 species
GAAAGUAAUAAAGGGCGUAUGGGGGAUGCCUAGGCUCUUGGAGGCGAAGAAAGACGUGGUAAGCUGCGAUAAGCCUCGGGGAUUUGCAAACGAGAAUUGAUCCGAGGAUUUCUGAAUGGGACAACCCGGCAGGCAGAAGGCCUGUCACACGAAAGUGGGCCAACCCUCUGAACUGAAACAUCUUAGUAGGAGGAGGAAAAGAAAGAAACAUCGAUUUCCUAAGUAGCGGCGAGCGAACGGGAAACAGCCUAAACCACAAUUGUUACGGCAACUGUGGGGUUGUAGGACUGCAAUAUUCAAAUGACUGUGAACUGGAAUGUUCUGGAAAGUUCAUCCAAAGAGAGUGAAAGACUCGUACAGGCAAGCACGUCAAGCGAUAGCAGUAUCCUGAGUAGGGCGGGACACGAGGAAUCCUGUCUGAAUCCGCCGGGACCACCCGGUAAGGCUAAAUACUCCCAAGAGACCGAUAGUGAACCAGUACCGUGAGGGAAAGGUGAAAAGAACCCCGAACAGGGGAGUGAAAUAGAACCUGAAACCAUACGCUUACAACCUGUCGGAGCGGCUUCGUGCCGUGACGGCGUGCCUAUUGAAUAAUGAGCCUACGAGUUACUAAUCACUGGCAAGGUUAAGUGCACGGAUGCACGGAGCCGAAGCGAAAGCGAGUCUGAACAGGGCGUUUAGUCAGUGGUUGUAGACGCGAAACCUUGCGAUCUACCCUUGAGCAGGUUGAAGGUUGGGUAAAACCAACUGGAGGACCGAACGAAUAAGCGUUGAAAAGCUUCUCGAUGACUUGAGGGUAGGGGUGAAAGGCUAAUCAAGCUGGGAAAUAGCUCGUACUCCCCGAAAUGCCUUUAGGGGCAGCGUUGUAAUUAAGAGUCUACUGGAGGUAGAGCUACUGAUUGGAUGCGGGGGCUUCACCGCCUACCAAAUCCUGACAAACUCCGAAUGCCAGUAGUAUGAUUUACAGCAGUGAGCGACCGGGUGCUAAUGUCCGGUUACGAGAGUGGAACAACACAGACCAGCAACUAAGGUCCCCAAGAGUAUACUAAGUUGAUCUAACGAUGUUUUGCUGCAGAGACAGCUAGGAUGUUAGCUUGGAAGCAGCUAUUCAUUCAAAGAGUGCGUAACAGCUCACUAGUCGAGCGGCAAAGCGUGGAUAAUAAACGGGCAUCAAGUAUACCACCGAAGUUCUGGGCACGAAAGUGCGGUAGGGGAGCAUUCCAUUCCGCGUUGAAGCCGAACCGUGAGGUUUGGUGGAGUGUAUGGAAAAGCAAAUGUAGGCAUGAGUAACGAUAAUGCGGGAGAGUAACCCGCACACCGCAAGACCAAGGUUUCCUGAUCAACGCUAAUCGGAUCAGGGUUAGUCGGGUCCUAAGGGUAAGCCGAACGGUGAUCUCGAUGGAUAAUCGGUUAAUAUUCCGAUACUGACAUAUACCUCGAUGGAGAGACGAAGGAACGUAAGUGCCGCCACCUGACGGAAUAGGUGGUUAAAGGGCUUAGGUAUAGGGACAGAUUAAGAGUUAGUCCUUGCUGAAACCUGACAGUACAGAGAGCCUACGGGCAAUUUGAUAGUGCACCCAAGUCGACUUCCGAGAAAAUCUUCUAAGUUAUAGUAUAUGUCACCCGUACCGUAAACCGACACAGGUGGUCGAGGAGAGUAUCCUAAGGUGCUCGAGUGAAUCACGGUUAAGGAACUAGGCAAAUUAACCCCGUAACUUCGGGAAAAGGGGUCCCAUCGCGAGGUGGGCGCAGCGAAGAGGUCCAGGCGACUGUUUAUCAAAAACACAGGGCUCUGCAAAUUCGAAAGAAGACGUAUAGGGCCUGACACCUGCCCGGUGCUGGAAGGUUAAGAGGGGAUGUCAUCGCAAGAGAAGCAUUGAAUCGAAGCCCCAGUAAACGGCGGCCGUAACUAUAACGGUCCUAAGGUAGCGAAAUUCCUUGUCGGGUAAGUUCCGACCUGCACGAAUGGUGUAACGAUCUGGACACUGUCUCAACCGUGAGCUCGGUGAAAUUGUAGUCCCGGUGAUGAUGCCGGGUACCCGCAACGGGACGAAAAGACCCCGUGAACCUUUACUAUAGCUUAACGCUGAAUUUGGGUACACAAUGUGUAGGAUAGGCAGGAGACUACGAAGCGGGCACGCCAGUGUUCGUGGAGUCGACGUUGAAAUACUGCCCUUUGUGUACUUGAGUUCUAACCCUCGAGAGGGGACACCGUUUGGUGGGUAGUUUGACUGGGGUGGUCGCCUCCAAAAGAGUAACGGAGGCUUCCCAAGGUACCCUCAGCACGAAUGGUAACCGUGCGUAGAGUGCAAUAGCAUAAGGGUGCUUGACUGUGAGACCAACAAGUCGAUCAGGUGCGAAAGCAGGGUAUAGUGAUCCGGUGGUUCUGCGUGGACUGGCCAUCGCUCAAAGGAUAAAAGGUACUCCGGGGAUAACAGGCUGAUCGCCGCCAAGAGCUCAUAUCGACGCGGCGGUUUGGCACCUCGAUGUCGGCUCGUCACAUCCUGGGGCUGGAGAAGGUCCCAAGGGUUCGGCUGUUCGCCGAUUAAAGUGGCACGCGAGCUGGGUUCAGAACGUCGUGAGACAGUUCGGUCCCUAUCUGUUGCGGGCGUAAGAGAUUUGAAGGGAGCUGUCCUUAGUACGAGAGGACCGGGAUGGACGUACCUCUGGUGCACCAGUUGUCCUGCCAAGGGCAUAGCUGGGUAGCUAUGUACGGACGAGAUAAACGCUGAAAGCAUCUAAGCGUGAAACUCCCCCUAAGAUGAGAUCUCUCAUCCUUCAAGGAGUAAGGACCCAGAAAGACGAUCUGGUUGAUAGGCCGAAGGUGGAAGCGCAGUAAUGUGUGGAGCUGAUCGGUACUAAUAGUCCGAGGGCUUGACCUA